GCCCGAGUGGCGGAAUAGGUAGACGCACAGGACUUAAAAUCCUGCGGAAGUUGAUUCCAUACCGGUUCGAUUCCGGUCUCGGGCACCA
rnacentral:tRNA from 1 species